AUUGAACGCUGGCGGAAUGCUUUACACAUGCAAGUCGAACGGCAGCACGGGUGCUUGCACCUGGUGGCGAGUGGCGAACGGGUGAGUAAUGCACCGGAACGUAUCCAAUAAUGGGGGAUAACGCACCGAAAGGUGUGCUAAUACCGCAUACGCCCUGAGGGGGAAAGCGGGGGAUCGUAAGACCUCGCGUUAAUGGAGCGGCCGAUGCCGGAUUAGCUAGUUGGUGAGGUAAAGGCUCACCAAGGCGACGAUCCGUAGCUGGUCUGAGAGGACGACCAGCCACACUGGAACUGAGACACGGUCCAGACUCCUACGGGAGGCAGCAGUGGGGAAUUUUGGACAAUGGGCGCAAGCCUGAUCCAGCCAUUCCGCGUGAGUGAAGAAGGCCUCGGUU
rnacentral:rRNA from 1 species